AACUUUAUCAUUAAACCGAGACAUACUAAAAGGGAAUUGAGUGUGUGGUGUUUAGUUAUGCUUAAUAAAUGUUCCAACCAAAUCCAACACACCUUCUCAACUCAUUGCUGUAUAGAUGCCGACGGUUUCAUCUUUUCAAUACCCAAUUAUUAUUUUACCCCCUAUUCAAUUUCUUUUUUGGUCCCUCAUUGCUUUAUUUUCAUCACUUAAAUUCUCUCUUAUCCACCCUUUUAUAUACCAUCACCACCUUCUCAACUAAUAACUUACAUUAUUCAUCAUCUUCUUCUUCAUUUCCAUGGAGUUUACUAUCAUCAAAUCUAGACCCAUCUCCAUUCUUUUGCUUCUCCUUCUCUUACUUUCCAUACCCUAUUUUUCAACAGGUAGCUUCGAUGUUUCGGAAAAAGAAGUUUAUGAGAUUGAUUAUAGAGGUCCAGAAACACACACUUCGAUCCCUCCGCCUGGUCACGGCCAUCGCAGUUCGGUUCACCAACAAACUGAUUUACCAACUCAUGAAUUAAGAAGUGUAAGUUUAUAUAUAUAUAUAUAUAUAUAUAUAUAUAUAUUCAUUUUCAUUGAUUUUAUUUAUUUAUUUGGGUUUUGGAUUGAUUUUGCAGGAAAUAAAAUUCAUGGGUGAAAUAAGACAGUUUUGAAUUGAAUGGGUUUUUAAAAGCUUUUGUUGUAGUUUAUAUAUAGCUAUUUAGUUUUCUAGAUUUGAAUAUCAUAUGUAAAAAUUUGAGAUAUUUAUUUAAAAUUGUAUCGUCGACGUUAAUUUGUAAAUUUGGAUGGUGUGAUUUUGCAUCUAUAUAUAAGAUUUAGAGUUUGAUUAAAUGAAA